GUCUACGGCCAUACCACCUGAACGCGCCCGAUCUCGUCUGAUCUCGGAAGCUAAGCAGGGUCGGGCCUUGGAUGGGAGAAAUCAAGGGAUGAUGUAAGCA
rnacentral:rRNA from 1 species